rnacentral:lncRNA from 1 species
UAAAUGUAAAGACUCAGUCGGGGAUAAAAAGGGAAAAUCUGCAGGGGAAAUAGGUAAAUUAGAACAAAACUGAAAUACUCAAUCCAAACAGGGGACGACGAUUCACUGAGGAAAUACACACUAAAACUCAACUGGGGAAGAAAUGAACUUCAACACAGGGGUAUCAUAAGUAUAUUAUCUACUACCGGUUACUGGGUAAGGAGAUAACAUAAUCUGGAAGAGAGGACAUCCGUUACCGGUAGGGUAACAUAUCAAGGAUGACUC